rnacentral:rRNA from 1 species
GACGAACGCUGGCGGCGUGCUUAACACAUGCCAGUCGAACGGAAAGGCCCUGCUUUUGUGGGGUGCUCGAGUGGCGAACGGGUGAGUAACACGUGAGUAACCUGCCCUUGACUUUGGGAUAACUUCAGGAAACUGGGGCUAAUACCGGAUAGGAGCUCCUGCUGCAUGGUGGGGGUUGGAAAGUUUCGGCGGUUGGGGAUGGACUCGCGGCUUAUCAGCUUGUUGGUGGGGUAGUGGCUUACCAAGGCUUUGACGGGUAGCCGGCCUGAGAGGGUGACCGGCCACAUUGGGACUGAGGUACGGCCCAGACUCCUACGGGAGGCAGCAGUGGGGAAUAUUGCACAAUGGGCGGAAGCCUGAUGCAGCAACGCCGCGUGCGGGAUGACGGCCUUCGGGUUGUAAACCGCUUUAGCCUGUGACGAAGCGUGAGUGACGGUAAUGGGUAAAGAAGCACCGGCUAACUACGUG